CACACUCGAUCGCUCCCAGCGUGAGUGGGGGCGGCAGCGAGUCCUGGAGAGCGUGCUCCCACGCGGCCACCCGCCCUGGUGAGAGCCGGGCCCCUGGCACAGCCUUUUAAAACUUCAUAAAUUAUAAACAAGCCGCCUUGGCCCUCACCAUAAAUUCCCCUUCUUGAGCCUGCAAUUAGUGUUAGGAAGCACCCAAGUCUAAACACAACCAAACGCCCUCUGAAGGACCCAACUGCCCAAGGUUGCAAACCUUUAUUUCCCAGUGCCACCCCCUCCCAAGCCAAGGUUUGCACACAGUCGCCUCCUCCCCCGCCACCGCCGGCAGUACACACUCGGCAGUACACACUCGGCUGGGUUCCCGCUCUGCGAGGGAAGGUCACAAUAGCUGCUCUAUCUGCAGAGGCGCCUGCCUCCUCCCUCCCUGGGUCUCAGAGAAGCAGAGAAAGAAGGGGGAGGGGCGCCGGCCGCCGACGGCGCCCAGGGCCGGGGGCCUCUCUUCUUGGGGAAGAGUUGCAGCGGUACUUGCAAGAGGAAGUUGGGUGGGGUAAGAAAUCUCCACCCUAGCUCCUGCCUCUCAAGUGUUCCGGGGGGCAAAGGGAAGGCACCAAGGCCUCGAAGUUGCUCGAGGCCUCCCUGCUCCACGCUUCCUUGAGGGUGCCCAGAGCAGCCAGAAGCCGGGAACACGCACGCCAUUGUGUGCGCUGCUUCCCCAUGGGUUCUACAGCAGAGGAGGCCGUAUGUAGGCAGCACAGGCUGGUGGCCGGAGGCAGGGUGGAAUAGCCUGCUGCACAGCAGGGGUUGGAGUGAGAAAUAAUUUAAGCCGAAGGAGAGAGUUCCUUGCAACCAGGAAAAACUCAGGAUCCAGUCUGCAGUAGAGGGCCUAGAAUGGAGCUAACCAGGAAAUUGCAGAAGCUGCUGAGGAACAGGCCUUGAAGAGUAGUCCUGGCACUGGUAAGGAGGGCCCAGUGGGAAAAUGGGUCGAGUGAGCGGCACCAGAGUCCCUCGCUCCAGCCUGCCGCCUCUUGGGACAGCGACGAUGCUCUCCUCAGCACGCACGGCAGAGAACACACAAAGAAAGCCGGGACCUGUUCUCGGCAGUUUCGAGGAGGAGGCUGGUGAGGACCCCGAGGCGGAGUGCCCCAGCCCCGCAGGAACAAUAGCUGCAGGCGGCAGUGCGGAGUGCGGCACAAAGCCCGCCGGAUCCACGCCGUCACCGGUUCCUCCUACUUCAGAGCAAGUCUGGGCCAGCUGGGAGCCGACCAGAAACCGCCAGCGGAGGAGACUCGGGCGCACUGGCUGGGUACUUGCAGAGGGCGUGACCCGCGGUGUUCCCACCCCCACCCCCACCCCCGCCUCACUACAGCCUGGGCUGGAGGGGAGUGCUGGUGGCCACCUCCUUGCCUUGGGGACAGGCCGGCUGCGCCAGCCCUCAGACUUCUCUGGGCACCCACGCCUGCCCCUGCCCCACAGUGACCCUGCAUUCCCUGUCCCUCUCCACACUGGCCCCAGUGACCCGCUGCUCUGUUCCCAGAAAGGGAUUUAUCUGACUCUGAAGGCAGGAGAAAAAGCCCACGAGGCCAGAGGGUUUUUGCAAACUCUUAAGUCUUAUUUGGCUGCGGGAGUAUUUGUGUGGGAGGAAGACCACUGUUGAACUUGAAAUAAACUUGAAUGUCAUUUAUAGUAACAAUAAACAUAUACUGAAAACACCAGUCACAAUGAUGUUUCUUCUCUUGGAGUGUAGCAGCAAGACUCCUAAGUACUUUUACCUCAGCCCUCAGGUUAAUUUUAGAAACAUCAUAGGGCUAAACUGCAA
rnacentral:lncRNA from 1 species